CUCGUGCAUUAAUUUAUGUAUUAAUUUCACAGGCACUUGUCUCAGAAAAAAAAUUUCCUAUAUACCUUAAUAUAACUGUUAUAUUAAGGUAUAUAGGAAAAAAAAUUCUGAGACAAGUGCCUGUGAUUAAUUUAUAGCAUAUGUUGACCUCUAGAUGUUGUUUUUUUUUCUUUUUGUUUUGUUUUGUUUGGUUGGCUGCUAUUUCAUUACAAUACUCCUUUAAAUCCUUCUAUUCACGUUUUAAUCACUUUUUAGAAUUUCGCAUUUAUUCAUAAAAUUAAACUUUUAUUCUGGUCAAUGAUUACAAUUGAAUAAAAUUGGGAGACUAUGACUAUGAGGUAUGGGCAUUGCUCAUUGUUGAAGACCGUACGGUGACCUAUAGUUGUUAAUUUCUGUGGCAUCUUUGUCUCUUUUUGAGAGUUGUCUUAUUGGAAAUUAUACCAUAUCUUCUUUUUUAUGCUAUCAGAAAACAAAAACAAAAUCUUAUCAAGGAAUAUGCUAAAGGAUGCUUUUGUCCAGAGAGAGAAACUAGACCUAGUUUGAAAUUUUUGGAUUUCGCAAAAACCAUUGAAUUAAUAGCGAGAGGACUGGAAUUAUU
rnacentral:lncRNA from 1 species